rnacentral:tRNA from 1 species
UCCCUGAUAGCUCAGUUGGUAAAGAAUCUACCUGCAAUGCAGGAGAUCCAGGUUGGAUUCCUGGGUUGGGAA